rnacentral:lncRNA from 1 species
GAAGACUGGAUUAGUUGGAUAGAUCAGGCCGUUAAGUCCAAAAUAUAUGUCAUGAUCAUUAAACUAGUUAUUGAAAAAAUGAUGAAAAAAAAUUCUUCCUUCUGUCCUUCCGAAAGAGCCAUUUCUUGUUGAUACUCAUUUCUUUGCAUCAUUGUAUCCUCCACUUUGAGACCAUCCUUGUCAAAACAAGCAAGAAAAGGUGUCAAAAUCUGCUACCAGCUUUUCAGUUGCACAAAGUAAAUUUUGCCAGCGCACUCAGCUGUUACUGUCAGCAUGCCUUGAGGAUUCAUGCAAAGUCUCCCCCAAAAGACUAUUGUCAUCCUACUUGGUGCAAGAAAUAUAACUGGUGAUUCUCUCUGACAUACAAAUUGCUCAAAAGCAAGGUCAUUCAAGAUACAGAAAAGGUCACUUGAGCAAAUAUCUCCAGUUGGGACAAGGCUCGUUGAGCCGCAAAUACAAAUAGUUCUAGGUGUAAAACAAUC